rnacentral:lncRNA from 1 species
GAACUGUGUUGACUGGUUAUUUACAGUUCUCCUUUGCCCGUUCAGAUUCCUUGCUGCAUUUCCAGAUGAGUUGUCUUACAACUAGACACAUUUGCUUUUUGAAAAAUGUCAGUGCAAGGUAUCCCCCCCAAAGAUGAUCUUAACUAGACAAUAUCCUUUACCCAAAUUAGGGGUAACUGGGUAGGAACUAGAUGGCAUGUAUGUCAGAAAACAUCUAUGAUACCAACCACAUGACAGUUUUAUUUCUCUGAUGUUAUCUUUGUGAGUUGAACCACCAUUACCAGAGAUAAAGUAAAACAAAUGGAAAAGGGGUGAGAAGGGGUGAACUGUAACUUAGUAUGAGUCCAAUUCACCUUGUGUCUCACUGGAAAGCCCUUCCCUGUAGCGCGAGGGUGGAGGGAGUCCCAUGGGCUGACCGUGGCUGCAGGCAUCCCUCUGGGGUGUGGGGGAUGAAUGAGCUGCCCAGGACCCUGGCUCUGUGUCAGAGGCAGGACUGUUCCACCUGCACAUAAGGGACAGAGAGGAAGUGGCAGCAGGGGAACCCUGAGGCCUCUUUGUUCCUUGGGCAGAAGUUAUUUGUAUUGAUGGCCUGAAGUGGAUGAAAGGGAUAUAUAUGCCUCUAGGUUUGUAUUAAUAUUUUAUUUUUAAAAAUGUGAAUGCAAAUAUAGAAGAAAAUGCUCCAAAAUGUUAAUAUUCAUUAUCUCAGGAAGGUGGAAUUAUAAAUAUCCUUAUUUACUGUAUACUUUUCCAGUUUUCUAAAGCAAGUUUCGCAUUAUUUCUGUAAUCAGGAAAAAGCUCUUAGGACUGUUACAGUUUGGAGGAGGCAGAGGCCCAGCGGCUGCACGGGCGGGCGGGCAUCCCACGUGGAGCACGGUUCCAGCCUAGGCGAGACGCCCUGGCUUCCGCUCGCCGCCUUUAGCGAGGCUACCCCGAUGGAGGGUGACGCAGGAGGACGAGUGUUUCUUGUGGUAAGAGACUAACAAGCAUGGGGUUUUUCUUUUCUUUUCUUUUCUUUCUUUUUUUUUUUUUUGUUUUGUUUUUUGAGACGGAGUCUCAGUCUCAGUCUGUCGCCCAGGCUGCACGAUUUCGGUCCCUGCAACCUCAGCCUCCUGGGUUCAAGCGAUUCUCCUGCCUCAGCCUCCUGAGUAGCUGGGAUUACAGGUGCCUGCCACCACGCCCAGCUAAUUUUUUGUAUUUUUAGUAGAGGUCGGGGGUUUCACCAUGCUGGCCAGGCUGGUCUCGAACUCCUGACCUCGGGUGAUCCGCCCGCCUCGGCCUCCCAAAGUGCUGGGAUUACGGGCAUGAGCCAAAUGUUAAGGGAACGCAUCCUAUUUUACAUACCGAUUUUCCCACAAGUCACCGGGAGGAUGUCACUGUGCAUAGCUGACCGUCGUCCUGUGCCGAGGGUCUGCUCAAGGGACAGAGGAGGACGGUGCUGUCCUGGGGUUUCGUCUGGCUUCCUGUGCCUGUCCUCGGAGGCUCGCUGUUACCUUUCUGAGCCUCAGCUUCUAGCGCAGGGGCUGGGAAGGGAGCUCAGAAGGGGCCGGAGCCGCGCGGCCCCCUGAGCGUUCUCGGUAAACGCUCGGGGUCCCCACUCCAAGCCCGGCCUUCCGCAUGCCGCUUCCUCGGCUACCCUUGAGAAGCAAAGCCCCCUUUUCCCUUGCCCACCACGCCAGUGCUGGCGCUCAGGUGCUGCCUCCCCUGUAACCCACAGCCCGGUUCUGGGUGCAGGCGUGUGUGUUAGCGCGAGGGGCGUUUUCACAUCCCGCGAGCCCUUAAGCCUAGGGAUUCGAGACCAGCCUGGGCAACAUAAUGAGAACCCCGUCUCUUAAAAAACAAAACGAAUUGUAAAUUAGGACAGGGUGCCAUUGGAUGGACCUCCAUGAAUGUCGCUUUUCCCACUGAGAAAGGCCCAGUGAGGCUGUGGCUUAGGGUGAGUCACCAGCAAUGUCGGGCUGGGCAGGCCUCCCCUCCUGCCGAGGUUGGGUGGCCCGGAGGAGACGGGGGCGCCUCCCAAGGGGGGCUGACUCCAAUACGCCCAGUUCCUUCUUCCCCAACGUAGUUACCGAAUACACUCCUUUCCUCUGGCGGAGUGGAUUAAAGGGGGUAGGAAGCAAAAGUGGAUUCCAAAUGGGGUCCAGUCACGUGGAAGGAAGGUUAAGGACGGGGCUCAGCAUUCCCGUGCAGUGUAGGCACAGUCAGCUCUGCCCCUCUCCGGGAUCUGGCGGCCCACCUGGGGUGGGCGUCCAGGCCUGGCGCUAGGAGAGUGGAGCGUGUUCUGCCCGCCUUCCGACCGGGCUCAUAACCCGCCCUGCUCCGUAAACUGCCACUCCCACCUGCCUCCCGGACGGCUGCCUCCUGAAGCUCUUUCCCGAAGCAUUUCUCCAUCGCAGAACUCCCUCUUGAACUCCAAACCUUUAUUUCAAGCUGCCUGGCAAACGUCUCUUCUCGGAGAUUCUGCAGGCAUCCAGAAGUCACCGUUCCCCAGGCGGAAACUGUGCGCUGGGUGCCCUUCGCACGUGGAGUCUCGGCCGCAUUGCCGCCUCUGCUCUGACAAUUCCUCCCGACCUCUCCCAGCUCCAGUGAACACAGCCUCGGCGGCAAGCGUUGUGGUGCAGCUGCGUGCCUGUCUCCCCUCUGCCCAUGAGUGCUGGAGGCCUCUCUGUCUUCAUUCCAGCAGCGGCCAGGCAAGGGGAUUUCUGCUUAGGGACCGAGGUUCUCCUUCAGCAGGCGCUCAUAGUUCCCUGUGACCACCAAAGAAACACAGACCAUUCCUGGCACUUCUGAGCAUUUCUUGCAACUCUGAAUUAUGGUAUAAUUAACACUCAGUGAGGUGACUUCACUGCUGGCAAUUGAAAGGGCCAGAGAUAGUCUGAUAGGCCAGAGAUAGUUGCAAUUAAACUCGACCCCACCAGGUGCCGCUGUUGUUGCUGCCAAACAGAGAUGCCCACAGCUUCCUCGUCCGUGCUUUCUGCCUGGAGCCCUUUAAGUCCCUCUUUUGACCUCCUUGCCCCACUCCCUACCACUCAUUGCAGUCUCUAAUUAGGGUCAGGUUUAACCUCUAAAUGGCAAGUCUUGGGAAAAGCAAGGAAAUUCUCCAUCUUACUCUGGCCCAAAUCCCUUUUGCUGUGUAAGCAGAUUUUGUUCUAGCCACACGGAGAGCAGAUGGUCAUCCUCACUGAGUCUGAAACCCUUCACUUAAGAUCAUAUUGAAUUCUCGUGUUUCCUUUAUAAAAACAGGCGGAAUGAGCCCUCACCCUCUCUUCCUAGGCUUCCUUUCCAAGCUCCUAAUCACCUCUCGCAGUGCUCCUUCCUGGAACUUCCUCCCGGGCCUACCCACAGUCCCCUUUUAUGGAGAUCACAGCUGUGGACGGGCCUGGCCGCUGCUGAACCGGAAGACUCCAGAUAAGGUCAGGAAGCCUGAGGCCUGCCCUGGCCCCGGAUGAGUUGGCCCCGAAACUUUUUCUCAUUCUGGGCUUUGGUGCCUG